AUUGAACGCUGGCGGCAUGCCUUACACAUGCAAGUCGAACGGCAGCAUGACGUGUAGCGAUACACGUUGAUGGCGAGUGGCGAACGGGUGAGUAAUAUAUCGGAACGUGCCCUGUAGCGGGGGAUAGCCCGGCGAAAGCCGGAUUAAUACCGCAUACGCUCUACGGAGGAAAGCGGGGGUCGCAAGACCUCGCACUAUAGGAGCGGCCGAUAUCGGAUUAGCUAGUUGGCGGGGUAAAAGCCCACCAAGGCGACGAUCCGUAGCUGGUCUGAGAGGAUGAUCAGCCACACUGGAACUGAGACACGGUCCAGACUCCUACGGGAGGCAGCAGUGGGGAAUUUUGGACAAUGGGCGCAAGCCUGAUCCAGCCAUGCCGCGUGAGUGAAGAAGGCCUUCGGGUUGUAAAGCUCUUUCGGCAGGAACGAAAUGGUCCGUGCUAAUACCCCGGGGGGAUGACGGUACCCGGAGAAUAAGCACCGGCUAACUACGUGCCAGCCGCCGCAGAAACAC
rnacentral:rRNA from 1 species